UACGGGGGGAGCAAGCGUUGUUCGGAAUUACUGGGCGUAAAGGGCGCGUAGGCGGCAAGGCAAGUCAGGUGUGAAAGCCCCGGGCUUAACUCGGGAAUUGCAUCUGAAACUGCUGUGCUUGAGUUCUGGAGGGGGUAGUGGAAUUCCCAGUGUAGCGGUGAAAUGCGUAGAUAUUAGGAGGAACACCUGCGGCGAAGGCGGCUACCUGGACAGAAACUGACGCUGAGGCGCGAAAGCUAGGGGAGCGAACGGG
rnacentral:rRNA from 1 species